UAGCGUAUUCGUUUGACGUUAGCGACAGAAGAAGCACCGGCUAACUCCGUGCCAGCAGCCGCGGUAAUACGGAGGUGCGAGCGUUAAUCGGAAUUACUGGCGUAAAGACGCAUGCAGGUGGUUUGUUAAGUCAGAUGUGAAAGACCCGGGCCGUCAACCUGGGAAGUUGUCAUUUGUAAACUAGGCAAACUAGAGUACUGUAGAGGGGGGUAGGAAUUUCUAGGUGUAGCGGUGAAAUAGCGUAGAGAUCUGAAGGAAUACCGGUGGCGAAGGCGGCCCCCUCGGACAGAUACUGACACUCAGAUGCGAAAGCGUGGGGAGCAAACAGGAUUAGAUACCCUGGUAG
rnacentral:rRNA from 1 species